CGAGCAUAGGUUCCUCCCAAGAUGCCACCCGCUUCAUUCAAGUGUCUGGCAGCACUGUGUUCCUGUUAGAGCCACCAGCACAAGCACCAGACGAUGCUGAUCCAGGUGAAGGCCCCAGUGCAGCAGCAACAGCACAUGAUGGAGACGA